AUGAACGCUAGCUACAGGCUUAACACAUGCAAGUCGAGGGGCAGCAUUUCAGUUUGCUUGCAAACUGGAGAUGGCGACCGGCGCACGGGUGAGUAACACGUAUCCAACCUGCCGAUAACUCGGGGAUAGCCUUUCGAAAGAAAGAUUAAUACCCGAUGGUAUAAUUAGACCGCAUGGUCUUGUUAUUAAAGAAUUUCGGUUAUCGAUGGGGAUGCGUUCCAUUAGGCAGUUGGUGAGGUAACGGCUCACCAAACCUUCGAUGGAUAGGGGUUCUGAGAGGAAGGUCCCCCACAUUGGAACUGAGACACGGUCCAAACUCCUACGGGAGGCAGCAGUGAGGAAUAUUGGUCAAUGGGCGCAGGCCUGAACCAGCCAAGUAGCGUGAAGGAUGACUGCCCUAUGGGUUGUAAACUUCUUUUAUAUGGGAAUAAAGUUUUCCACGUGUGGAAUUUUGUAUGUACCAUAUGAAUAAGGAUCGGCUAACUCCGUGCCAGCAGCCGCGGUAAUACGGAGGAUCCGAGCGUUAUCCGGAUUUAUUGGGUUUAAAGGGAGCGUAGGUGGACAGUUAAGUCAGUUGUGAAAGUUUGCGGCUCAACCGUAAAAUUGCAGUUGAUACUGGCUGUCUUGAGUACAGUAGAGGUGGGCGGAAUUCGUGGUGUAGCGGUGAAAUGCUUAGAUAUCACGAAGAACUCCGAUUGCGAAGGCAGCUCACUGGACUGCAACUGACACUGAUGCUCGAAAGUGUGGGUAUCAAACAGGAUUAGAUACCCUGGUAGUCCACACAGUAAACGAUGAAUACUCGCUGUUUGCGAUAUACAGUAAGCGGCCAAGCGAAAGCAUUAAGUAUUCCACCUGGGGAGUACGCCGGCAACGGUGAAACUCAAAGGAAUUGACGGGGGCCCGCACAAGCGGUGGAGCAUGUGGUUUAAUUCGAAGCAACGCGAAGAACCUUACCAGGUCUUGACAUCGAUCUAAAGGCUCCAGAGAUGGAGAGAUAGCUAUAGAGAAGACAGGUGGUGCAUGGUUGUCGUCAGCUCGUGCCGUGAGGUGUCGGCUUAAGUGCCAUAACGAGCGCAACCCUUAUCUUUAGUUACUAACAGGUCAUGCUGAGGACUCUAGAGAGACUGCCGUCGUAAGAUGUGAGGAAGGUGGGGAUGACGUCAAAUCAGCACGGCCCUUACGUCCGGGGCUACACACGUGUUACAAUGGGGGGUACAGAAGGCAGCUACCUGGUGACAGGAUGCUAAUCCCAAAAGCCUCUCUCAGUUCGGAUCGAAGUCUGCAACCCGACUUCGUGAAGCUGGAUUCGCUAGUAAUCGCGCAUCAGCCAUGGCGCGGUGAAUACGUUCCCGGGCCUUGUACACACCGCCCGUCAAGCCAUGAAAGCCGGGGGUACCUGAAGUACGUAACCGCAAGGAGCAUCCUAGGGUAAAACUGGUAAUUGGGGCU
rnacentral:rRNA from 1 species